UACGGAGGAUGCGAGCGUUAUCCGGAUUUAUUGGGUUUAAAGGGUGCGUAGGCGGGCUUUUAAGUCAGCGGUAAAAAUUCGGGGCUCAACCCCGUCCGGCCGUUGAAACUGGGGGCCUUGAGUGGGCAAGAAGAAGGCGGAAUGCGUGGUGUAGCGGUGAAAUGCAUAGAUAUCACGCAGAACCCCGAUUGCGAAGGCAGCCUUCCGGCGCCCUACUGACGCUGAGGCACGAAAGUGCGGGGAUCGAACAGG
rnacentral:rRNA from 1 species